rnacentral:rRNA from 1 species
AGGGAGCUUGCUCCCGGAUGUUAGCGGCGGACGGGUGAGUAACACGUGGGUAACCUGCCUGUAAGACUGGGAUAACUCCGGGAAACCGGAGCUAAUACCGGAUAGUUCCUUGAACCGCAUGGUUCAAGGAUGAAAGACGGUUUCGGCUGUCACUUACAGAUGGACCCGCGGCGCAUUAGCUAGUUGGUGAGGUAACGGCUCACCAAGGCGACGAUGCGUAGCCGACCUGAGAGGGUGAUCGGCCACACUGGGACUGAGACACGGCCCAGACUCCUACGGGAGGCAGCAGUAGGGAAUCUUCCGCAAUGGACGAAAGUCUGACGGAGCAACGCCGCGUGAGUGAUGAAGGUUUUCGGAUCGUAAAGCUCUGUUGUUAGGGAAGAACAAGUGCAAGAGUAACUGCUUGCACCUUGACGGUACCUAACCAGAAAGCCACGGCUAACUACGUGCCAGCAGCCGCGGUAAUACGUAGGUGGCAAGCGUUGUCCGGAAUUAUUGGGCGUAAAGGGCUCGCAGGCGGUUUCUUAAGUCUGAUGUGAAAGCCCCCGGCUCAACCGGGGAGGGUCAUUGGAAACUGGGAAACUUGAGUGCAGAAGAGGAGAGUGGAAUUCCACGUGUAGCGGUGAAAUGCGUAGAGAUGUGGAGGAACACCAGUGGCGAAGGCGACUCUCUGGUCUGUAACUGACGCUGAGGAGCGAAA